AUUGAACGCUGGCGGCAGGCCUAACACAUGCAAGUCGAACGGUAACAGGGAUCAGCUUGCUGCUUCGCUGACGAGUGGCGGGCGGGUGAGUAAUGUCUGGGAAACUGCCUGAUGGAGGGGGAUAACUACUGGAAACGGUAGCUAAUACCGCAUAACGUCGCAAGACCAAAGAGGGGGACCUUCGGGCCUCUUGCCCUCGGAUGUGCCCAGAUGGGAUUAGCUAGUAGGUGGGGUAACGGCUCACCUAGGCGACGAUCCCUAGCUGGUCUGAGAGGAUGACCAGCCACACUGGAACUAAGACACGGUCCAGACUCCUACGGGAGGCAGCAGUGGGGAAUAUUGCACAAUGGGCGCAAGCCUGAUGCAGCCAUGCCGCGUGUAUGAAGAAGGCCUUCGGGUUGUAAAGUACUUUCAGCGGGGAGGAAGGGAGUAAAGUUAAUACCUUUGCUCAUUGGCGUUACCCGCAGAAGAAGCACCGGCUAACUCCGUG
rnacentral:rRNA from 1 species